ACGGGAGGCAGCAGUGGGGAAUAUUGCACAAUGGGGGAAACCCUGAUGCAGCGACGCCGCGUGAGCGAAGAAGUAUUUCGGUAUGUAAAACUCUAUCAGCAGGGAAGAAAAAUGACGGUACUUGACUAAGAAGCACCGGCUAAAUACGUGCCAGCAGCCGCGGUAAUACGUAUGGUGCAAGCGUUAUCCGGAUUUACUGGGUGUAAAGGGAGCGUAGGCGGCUUUGCAAGUCUGAUGUGAAAGCCCGGGGCUCAACUCCGGUAUUGCAUUGGAAACUGUAGAGCUAGAGUGUCGGAGGGGUAAGUGGAAUUCCUAGUGUAGCGGUGAAAUGCGUAGAUAUUAGGAGGAACACCAGUGGCGAAGGCGGCUUACUGGACGAUUACUGACGCUGAGGCUCGAAAGCGUGGGGAGCAAACAGGAUUAGAUACCCUGGUA
rnacentral:rRNA from 1 species